rnacentral:rRNA from 1 species
CUGGGCUCGAAAUGUACAGGAAUCCGGUAGAAAUAUCGGCGUCUCGCAAGAGACCUGUAUAUAGGUGCUGCAUGGCUGUCGUCAGCUCGUGUCGUGAGAUGUUGGGUUAAGUCCCGCAACGAGCGCAACCCUUAUCUCUAGUUGCUACCAUUUAGUUGGGCACUCUGAAGGAACUGCCGGUGACAAGCCGGAGGAAGGUGGGGAUGACGUCAAGUCCUCAUGGCCCUUACGCGCUGGGCUACACACGUGCUACAAUGGUGGUGACAAUGGGUCGCAAGCGUGCGAACGCAAGCUAAUCUCCAAAAGCCAUCUCAGUUCGGAUUGCACUCUGCAACUCGAGUGCAUGAAGUCGGAAUCGCUAGUAAUCGUGGAUCAGCAUGCCACGGUGAAUACGUUCCC